rnacentral:rRNA from 1 species
UGGGGAAUAUUGGACAAUGGGCGCAAGCCUGAUCCAGCAAUGCCGCGUGGGUGAAGAAGGCCUUCGGGUUGUAAAGCCCUUUUGUACGGGAAGAAAUCAUCCGGGUUAAUACCCUGGGUGGAUGACGGUACCGUAAGAAUAAGCACCGGCUAACUUCGUGCCAGCAGCCGCGGUAAUACGAAGGGUGCAAGCGUUAAUCGGAAUUACUGGGCGUAAAGCGUGCGUAGGUGGUUGUUCAAGUCUGUCGUGAAAGCCCUGGGCUCAACCUGGGAAUGGCGAUGGAAACUGGGCGACUGGAGUGCGGUAGAGGAUGGCGGAAUUCCCGGUGUAGCGGUGAAAUGCGUAGAGAUCGGGAGGAACAUCCGUGGCGAAGGCGGCCAUCUGGACCAGCACUGACACUGAGGCACGAAAGCGUGGGGAGCAAACAGG